GACGAACGCUGGCGGCGUGCCUAAUACAUGCAAGUUGAGCGCUGAAGGUUGGUACUUGUACCAACUGGAUGAGCAGCGAACGGGUGGGUAACGCGUGGGGAAUCUGCCUUUGAGCGGGGGACAACAUUUGGAAACGAAUGCUAAUACCGCAUAAGAACUUUAAACACAAGUUUUAAGUUUGAAAGAUGCAAUUGCAUCACUCAAAGAUGAUCCCGCGUUGUAUUAGCUAGUUGGUGAGGUAAAGGCUCACCAAGGCGAUGAUACAUAGCCGACCUGAGAGGGUGAUCGGCCACAUUGGGACUGAGACACGGCCCAAACUCCUACGGGAGGCAGCAGUAGGGAAUCUUCGGCAAUGGACGAAAGUCUGACCGAGCAACGCCGCGUGAGUGAAGAAGGUUUUCGGAUCGUAAAACUCUGUUGGUAGAGAAGAACGUUGGUGAGAGUGGAAAGCUCAUCAAGUGACGGUAACUACCCAGAAAGGGACGGCUAACUACGUG
rnacentral:rRNA from 1 species